rnacentral:rRNA from 1 species
GACGAACGUUGGCGGCGUGCUUAAUACAUGCAAGUCAACUGAAGCAGUGGUAGCAAUAUCGCUGUGGAGGUGGCGCACGGGUGAGUAACACGUAGGUAAUCUGCCUUCAGGUCUGGCAUAACUCCGGGAAACCGGGGCUAAUAGCAGAUGAUGCAGCGGCUCGACAUCGAGACAGUUGUUAAAGCUAUGGCGCCUGAAGAUGAGCCUGCGUCUGAUUAGCUAGUUGGCGGGGUAACGGCCCACCAAGGCAACGAUCAGUAGCUGGUCUGAGAGGAUGAUCAGCCACACUGGAACUGAGACACGGUCCAGACUCCGACGGGAGGCAGCAGUAAGGAAUAUUGCGCAAUGGGAGAAAUCCUGAAGCAGCAACGCCGCGUGAGGGACGAAGGGCUUUUGCUUGUAAACCUCUGUAGUGAGAGAAAAAAAUCCCAAUCUUUGGGACAUGAUGGUAUCUCAAAAGUAAGCCCCGGCUAACUACGUG